rnacentral:rRNA from 1 species
UACGGAGGUGGCGAGCGUUGCUCGGAUUCACUGGGUGUAAAGGGCAAGUAGGCGGCCGCGUAAGUCGGGUGUGAAAUUCCACGGCUCAACCGUGGAACUGCGCCCGAAACUGCGUGGCUUGAGGACAGCAGAGGCGAAUGGAAUUCCCGGUGUAAGGGUGAAAUCUGUAGAGAUCGGGAGGAAUACCAGUGGCGUAGGCGAUUCGCUGGGCUGUCCCUGACGCUGAGAGGCGAAAGCUAGGGGAGCAAACAGGAUUAGAUACCC